AUUGAACGCUGGCGGCAGGCCUAACACAUGCAAGUCGCGCGGAGCGGCGGUCGCGUGCGUAAUGCCUAGGAAUCUGCCUGGUAGUGGUGGAUAACGUCCGGAAACGGGCGCUAAUACCGCAUACUAUCAUUUGACCUUAGGUCGGCUUAACUAGUUUGUUGGGUAAAGGCCUACCAAGGCGACGAUCCGUAACUGGUCUGAGAGGAGGCUGAGUCAAACUGGAAGUGAGACACGGUCCAAACUCCUACGGGAGGCAGCAGUGGGGAAUAUUGGACAAUGAGCGAAAGCCUGAUCCAGCACUGCCGAGUGUGUGAAGAAGGUUUGCGGAUGGUAAAGCCCUUUAAGUUGGGAGGCGUUACCGACAGAAUAAGCACCGGCUAACUACGUGCCAGCAGCCGCGGUAAUAC
rnacentral:rRNA from 1 species